GCUGUCGCCCUUGGCACUGAAAGAAUUCACAGAUGCUGCCCCUUUAAAACUCGUGGGUUCUCAAGUGCCAAAGAUGACGGUGCG
rnacentral:pre_miRNA from 1 species